AUGCAAGUCGAACGAGAUCUUCGGAUCUAGUGGCGCACGGGUGAGUAACGCGUGGGAACCUACCUUUCAGUUCGGGAUAACAGUUGGAAACGACUGCUAAUACCGUAUACGCCCUCCGGGGGAAAGGUCAGCCGCUGAAAGAGGGGCCCGCGUCUGAUUAGCUUGUUGGUAGGGUAAAAGCCUACCAAGGCUUCGAUCAGUAGCUGGUCUGAGAGGAUGAUCAGCCACACUGGGACUGAGACACGGCCCAGACUCCUACGGGAGGCAGCAGUCGGGAAUAUUGGACAAUGGAGGAAACUCUGAUCCAGCAAUGCCGCGUGUGUGAUGAAGGCCCUAGGGUUGUAAAGCACUUUCAACGGUGAAGAUGAUGACGGUAGCCGUAGAAGAAGCCCCGGCUAACUUCGUGCCAGCAGCCGCGGUAAUACGAAGGGGGCGAGCGUUGUUCGGAAUUAUUGGGCGUAAAGGGCGCGCAGGCGGUUUGGAUAGUUAGACGUGAAAGCCCUGGGCUUAACCUAGGAACUGCGUUUAAUACUGCCAAACUAGAGAACUAGAGAGGAUAGCGGAACUCCCAGUGUAGAGGUGAAAUUCGUAGAUAUUGGGAAGAACAUCAGUGGCGAAAGCGGCUGUCUGGCUAGUUUCUGACGCUGAGGCGCGAAAGCGUGGGGGAGCAAACAGGAUUAGAUACCCUGGUAGUCCACGCCGUAAACGAUGUGUGCUAGAUGUUGGAAGGUUACCUUGCAGUGUCGCAGCUAACGCGUUAAGCACACCGCCUGGGAAGUACGGUCGCAAGAUUAAAACUCAAAGGAAUUGACGGGGGCCCGCACAAGCGGUGGAGCAUGUGUUUAAUUCGAAGCAACGCGCAGAACCUUACCAGCUCUUGACAUGUGAGUUUGGUAUCAGAGAUGAUUUCCUUCAGUUCGGCUGCUCCACACAGUGCUGCAUGCUGUCGUCAGCUCGUGUCGUGAGAUGUGGUAGUCCCGCACGAGCGCACCCUCAUCUUUAGUGCAGCAGUCGCUGCACUCUAGAGAACUGCCUGGAUGACAGAGAAGCAGGAUGACGUCAAGUCUCAUGGCCCUUAAGGGCUGGCUACACACGUGCUAACAUGGGGGUUACGGGGGGAGAAAAAGGUGACCGUGGGACUAUAUCCCAAG
rnacentral:rRNA from 1 species